AUGGCCGCACACAUCGCCAUGGGACGCAUUGGAGAAGUCUAUCACCAGGAGCUUAAGGAUACAAUUUACCAAAUUUGUGGACGCCGAGACGCGCAAUGGGAGAUGGUCAGAACCAAGAAGGAUGGAUCAAUUGCAGCUUACAUCCAGGAGCAAAACCAACAUAUUCGUCGCCAGGAGAAUCAGAUGUGCACGGACAAGGAAGAACUGAAGAAGGCAUUAACGAAGAUCAAGGAGCUCCAAGAAGAACUCAAGGCUACACGCGAAGAUUAUUUGGAGGAAAUCAACGCACUAGUAGGGAAGAAUGACGACCUGGAGAAGAAGAUUGGAGUAUUCGUGGGAAAUCCAGUGCCAAAAGCAGAAGUCGACGAAUGCACUUGUCCGGAUAACUACAUCAUCAUCGACGACACCGACUCAGAACCAAGUGAAGACGACUGGGUUGAUGAAGCUGGAGCAGACAUCAUGGAGUCUUCAACGGAUCAGAAUUUCUAG
rnacentral:rRNA from 1 species